GCCGGGCAUGGUGGUGUGUGCCUGUAAUCCCAGCUACUCAGGAGGCUGAGGCAGGAGGAUCACUUGAACCUGGGAGGCGGAGGUUGUGAUGAGCCAAGAUUGCGCCAUUGCACUCCAGCCUGGGUGACAGAGUGAGACUCUGUCUCAA
rnacentral:SRP_RNA from 1 species